AUUGAACGCUGGCGGCAGGCCUAACACAUGCAAGUCGAGCGGAUGAAGGGAGCUUGCUCCUGGAUUCAGCGGCGGACGGGUGAGUAAUGCCUAGGAAUCUGCCUGGUAGUGGGGGAUAACGUCCGGAAACGGGCGCUAAUACCGCAUACGUCCUGAGGGAGAAAGUGGGGGAUCUUCGGACCUCACGCUAUCAGAUGAGCCUAGGUCGGAUUAGCUAGUUGGUGGGGUAAAGGCCUACCAAGGCGACGAUCCGUAACUGGUCUGAGAGGAUGAUCAGUCACACUGGAACUGAGACGCGGUCCAGACUCCUACGGGAGGCAGCAGUGGGGAAUAUUGGACAAUGGGCGAAAGCCUGAUCCAGCCAUGCCGCGUGGGUGAAGAAGGUCUUCGGAUUGUAAAGCACUUUAAGUUGGGAGGAAGGGCAGUAAGUUAAUACCUUGCUGUUUUGACGUUACCAACAGAAUAAGCACCGGCUAACUUCGU
rnacentral:rRNA from 1 species